rnacentral:rRNA from 1 species
AUUGAACGCUGGCGGCAGGCCUAACACAUGCAAGUCGAACGAGUGGCGGACGGGUGAGUAAUGUCUGGGAAACUGCCCGAUGGAGGGGGAUAACUACUGGAAACGGUAGCUAAUACCGCAUACCAUCGGAUGUGCCCAGAUGGGAUUAGCUGGUAGGUGAGGUAACGGCUCACCUAGGCGACGAUCCCUAGCUGGUCUGAGAGGAUGACCAGUAACAGUGGAACUGAGACACGGUCCAUACGCCGACGUGAGGUAGCAGUGGGGAAUAUUGAACAAGUGGCGUAAGCUUGAUGCAGCCAUGCCGCGUGUAUGAAGAAGGCCGUCGGGUUGUAAAGUACUUUCAGCGGUGAGGCGGUACCCGCAGAAGAAGCACCGGCUAACUCCGUGCCAGCAGCCGCGGUAAUUC